AUCCAACUGAUAAGUUCCGAAUAGGACGAAACGUGCGUCCAGCUGGAU
rnacentral:hammerhead_ribozyme from 1 species